rnacentral:rRNA from 1 species
AACGAACGCUGGCGGCAUGCCUAACACAUGCAAGUCGAACGAGACCUUCGGGUCUAGUGGCGCACGGGUGCGUAACGCGUGGGAACCUGCCUUUAGGUUCGGAAUAACUCAGAGAAAUUUGAGCUAAUACCGGAUGAUGUCUUCGGACCAAAGAUUUAUCGCCUUUAGAUGGGCCCGCGUUGGAUUAGCUAGUUGGUGGGGUAAAGGCCUACCAAGGCGACGAUCCAUAGCUGGUCUGAGAGGAUGAUCAGCCACACUGGGACUGAGACACGGCCCAGACCCCUACGGGAAGCAGCAGUGGGGAAUAUUGGACAAUGGGCGAAAGCCUGAUCCAGCAAUGCCGCGUGAGUGAUGAAGGCCUUAGGGUUGUAAAGCUCUUUUACCCGAGAUGAUAAUGACAGUAUCGGGAGAAUAAGCUCCGGCUAACUCCGUG